GAUGAACGCUAGCGGCAGGCCUAACACAUACAAGUCGAGGGGUAACAUAGAAAAGCUUGCUUUUCUGAUGACGACCGGCGCACGGGUGCGUAACGCGUAUACAACCUACCUUUUAGCGGGGAAUAGCCCAGGGAAACUUGGAUUAAUGCCCCAUAGUAUAUAGACUUCUCCUGAAGUUUAUAUUAAACAUUUAUGGCUAUUAGAUGGGUAUGCGUCCUAUUAGUUAGUUGGUAAGGUAACGGCUUACCAAGGCAGCGAUAGGUAGGGGUCCUGAGAGGGAGAUCCCCACACUGGUACUGAGACACGGACCAGACUCCUACGGGAGGCAGCAGUGAGGAAUAUUGGACAAUGGGCGAGAGCCUGAUCCAGCCAUGCCGCGUGCAGGAAGACUGCCCUAUGGGUUGUAAACUGCUUUUACAGAGGAAGAACCACCCCCACGUGUGGGGGUUUGACGGUACUCUGCGAAUAAGGAUCGGCUAACUCCGUG
rnacentral:rRNA from 1 species